rnacentral:rRNA from 1 species
GACGAACGCUGGCGGCGUGCUUAACACAUGCAAGUCGAACGGAAAGGCCCUGCUUUUGUGGGGUGCUCGAGUGGCGAACGGGUGAGUAACACGUGAGUAACCUGCCCUUGACUUUGGGAUGACUUCAGGAAACUGGGGCUAAUACCGGAUAAGAGCUCCUGCUGCAUGGUGGGGGUUGGAAAGUUUCGGCGGUUGGGGAUGGACUCGCGGCUUAUCAGCUUGUUGGUGGGGUAGUGGCUUACCAAGGCUUUGACGGGUAGCCGGCCUGAGAGGGUGACCGGCCACAUUGGGACUGAGAUACGGCCCAGACUCCUACGGGAGGCAGCAGUGGGGAAUAUUGCACAAUGGGCGGAAGCCUGAUGCAGCAACGCCGCGUGCGGGAUGACGGCCUUCGGGUUGUAAACCGCUUUCGCCUGUGACGAAGCGUGAGUGACGGUAAUGGGUAAAGAAGCACCGGCUAACUACGUG